UAUGUGAUCGUCUCUCGCAUAUCAAUAAGCGGAGGAAAAGAAACUAACAAGGAUUCCCCUAGUAACGGCGAGUGAAGCGGGAAGAGCUCAAAUUUGAAAUCUUAAAGGGUUUCCCUUUACGAAUUGUAGUUUAAAGAAGUGUUUUCUGUUGAGGUUUUGGUAAAAGUUCUUUGGAAUAGGACAGUCAUAGAGGGUGAGAAUCCCGUAUUUGACCUUUACUUUCAACUUUGUGAUACACUUUCAAAGAGUCGGAUUGUUUGGGAAUGCAGUCCAAAAUGGGUGGUAAAUUUCAUCUAAAGCUAAAUAUUGGCGAGAGACCGAUAGCGAACAAGUACCGUGAGGGAAAGAUGAAAAGAACUUUGAAAAGAGAGUUAAACAGUACGUGAAAUUGUCAAAAGGGAAGCGUUUGACACCAGUGUUGUUUUUCUGAAAAUCAAUUAAAGAACUGUUUAUGCUAAGUUGUUUAGACUUUAUCAGCUAAUCUGCUUAGUUUUGAGCUUUUCUUUAAUGCACUUUUCAGUUAACAAGUCAACAUCAAUUUCUUUUGCUGUAAAAAAGCUUGAGGAAGGUGGCUUGAGAUUCGUCUUAAGUGUUUAUAGCCUCUUGCCUAUGCAGUCGGAGAGAUUGAGGUCUGCAGCGUAGAUCCUUCGGGGCUAAAUGCAUUUGUGCUAAGUUAUAGCAUUUUAUAGACAACUUGUUGACUAUGAUUUGUCUUGUAGCUUACUCGCUUAUGUUAUUUUACCUACGCUUAGGAUGUUGACACACGCGCGUGCUCG
rnacentral:rRNA from 1 species